rnacentral:sRNA from 1 species
CCAGCACCCAACUUUACCACCCUCCCCCACCUCUCCCCCGAAACUCCAGCAACAAAGAAAAGUAGUCGGAGAAGGAGCGGCGACUCAGGGUCGCCCGCCCCUCCUCACCGAGGAAGGCCGGAGAACGCCCAUAUAAAUGUGAACUUUGUCCUUACUCAAGUUCUCAGAAGACUCAUCUAACUAGACAUAUGCGUACUCAUUCAGAGCGUCUGCCCUGUCCAAGGAGGUGAUAUGCACAGGGAGGAUGUUGGAAGCCACGACUGUAAACCAAGCUGACUGAUUUCCCU